UGCAUAUUUGCCACAUAGCGUGAAUAGCUACAAUAAAAUACAGGGGAAGGUGCCCUGAUUAGCUUCAGCAGCGUGAGUAGUCAGGACUACACCUGGAUUUGAACCAGACCUGCAGAAAUGCCUCAAGUAGGACUAGGUAAUCCAGAGACAAAGGAAGGGACUCAUGCUCUCCAUGUUCUGCUGUACCAUCUGCAAUGUAGUCUCCCCUGAUGGAUGCAGAAUGAAAGACGACACUCCCGGCAGCACCACCUCCGGCAACAGCAAUCAGAAGGAGAGCAGAGGCUGAAAGGUCCAAGAUCAACAUUCUAGCAGAUUUGAUUUCUGGUGAAGACCCUCUUCAUGGAUUGUCGACAGCCACCUUUUCACCAUGUCUUCACGCUGAGGAAAGAGGGGGAAGCUGGAGGUCUCCAGUGAAUUUAAAGUUUAUUUUAGAUGGCAGUAUGGUUGAUUAAUGAUGCUGCUUUAGUUUCGGGUGUACAGUAAAGUGGCUCAGUUAUACAUAUACAUUUAUCUGGUUUUUUUUUCAAAUUCUUAUCCCGUUUAGGUUGUUACAUAAAAUUGAGCAAAAUUCCCUGUGCUAUACAGUAGGUUUUUGUUGGUUGUCGUUUUAAAUACAGCAGUGUGUACAUGUCCAUCCCAAACUCCCUAACUAUCCCUCCCCUGACCCAUUCCCUGGUAAACAGAAGUUCAUAACCCC
ensembl:lncRNA